GAUCCUGGCUUAGGACGAACGCUGGCGGCGUGCUUAACACAUGCAAGUUGAACGGUAUGACAUGGAAGCUUGCUGAAGUGUCAUAUAGUAGCGGACGGGUGAGUAAUGCAUGAGAAGCUGCCAUUGGAGGGGGACAACAGUUGGAAACGGCUGCUAAUACCCCGUAUGCCGGAGGGUGAAAGGGAGUAAUCCGCCCGAUGAGGUGCUCAUGUCCUAUCAGCUGGUUGGUGGGGUAACGGCCUACCAAGGCGACGACGGGUAGCCGGCCUGAGAGGGUGAACGGCCACACUGGAACUGAGAUACGGUCCAGACUCCUACGGGAGGCAGCAGUGGGGAAUAUUGGGCAAAUGGGGGCAACCCUGACCCAGCGACGCCGCGUGGGGGAAGACGGCCUUCGGGUUGUAAACCUCUUUUGUACGGGAAGAAGGAAGUGACGGUACUGUACGAAUAAGUCCCGGCUAACUACGUGCCAGCCGCUGC
rnacentral:rRNA from 1 species